GAUGAACGCGGGCGGCGUGCCUAAUACAUGCAAGUCGAGCGAACAGACGAGGAGCUUGCUUCUCUGACGUUAGCGGCGGACGGGUGAGUAACACGUGGAUAACCUACCUAUAAGACUGGGAUAACUUCGGGAAACCGGAGCUAAUACCGGAUAAUAUAUUGAACCGCAUGGUUCAAUAGUGAAAGACGGUUUUGCUGUCACUUAUAGAUGGAUCCGCGCCGCAUUAGCUAGUUGGUAAGGUAACGGCUUACCAAGGCAACGAUGCGUAGCCGACCUGAGAGGGUGAUCGGCCACACUGGAACUGAGACACGGUCCAGACUCCUACGGGAGGCAGCAGUAGGGAAUCUUCCGCAAUGGGCGAAAGCCUGACGGAGCAACGCCGCGUCAGUGAUGAAGGUCUUCGGAUCGUAAAACUCUGUUAUUAGGGAAGAACAAAUGUGUAAGUAACUAUGCACGUCUUGACGGUACCUAAUCAGAAAGCCACGGCUAACUACGUG
rnacentral:rRNA from 1 species